GCAGGUAUAGUUUAUAUAAAACGGUACUUUUGUAAUGUACAGAGGGUGCACAACCUGCCUGCU
rnacentral:tRNA from 1 species